rnacentral:rRNA from 1 species
UGGCGGUAUGCUUACACAUGCAAGUCGAACGAAAGUUUUUAACUUUAGUGGCGAACGGGUGCGUAAUACGUGAGAAUCUGCCCUUAGGAGAAGAAUAACUGCUGGAAACGGCUGCUAAAUCUUCAUAUGUCGAGAGAUGAAAUAGCUUAGGCUGCCUAAGGAUGAGCUCACGCCUGAUUAGCUAGUUGGUGAGGUAAUGGCUCACCAAGGCCACGAUCAGUAGCUGGUUUGAGAGAACGAUCAGCCACACUGGGACUGAGACACGGCCCAGACUCCUCCGGGAGGCAGCAGUGAGGAAUUUUCCGCAAUGGGCGAAAGCCUGACGGAGCAAUACCGCGUGAGGGAUGAAGGAUUUUGGUCUGUAAACCUCUUUUCUCAAGAAAGAAGUUCUGACGGUACUUGAGGAAUAAGCAUCGGCUAACUCCGUGCCAGCAGCCGCGGUAAUACGGGGGAUGCAAGCGUUAUCCGGAAUCAUUGGGCGUAAAGCGCCUGUAGGUUGUUUAAUAAGUCUGUUGUUAAAGACUAGGGCUUAACCCUAGAAAAGCAAUGGAAACUACUAGACUAAAGUAUGGCA